rnacentral:lncRNA from 10 species
CAGACGCUGAGUUCGGGUACAAACGCUACUACCUACAGGGCUUUGGGCCCCGGCUCUGGGAGGAUGGCUCACAUGUCCAGAACAUUCCAGACAUGGAAUUUAGGUCACAUUCUUGAGAAAAGACCCCACGGAGAACAGGUCACACUACAGGAUGACAAGCACCCAACCCAACACACCGUCAUCAUGGUUGGGAUGUAAGAUGGAACAGCCAUGUUGGAAAAG